AAACAACCAUACCAUAGGUAAUCUAGUUUCAAACGGGAAUUGAAAUAAAUAAAAGUAUGUUUUAUUAUUAUAAUUAGAGACACACUGUAAUCAAUGUAUUCACCUUGAAAAUUUUUGUUUAAAGCAGAAAGAAAAUACAUGUAUAAUUAUUUUUAACUUUGAAAUUUCUUUGAUUUUUGUAACUAUGAUGAGUUAUUGUAUUAUAAACGCAUCACAACAUAUUAUAUAUGGAAAUAUAGUGAUUUUUGUUUUUAAAGAACGCAAAACAUAAUUCAUUUACUUUUUUUAUUCUAAUAUGUAUUAUUUGAUAUACGACUAUGAGUACAAAUAUUCAAAUUAUUGAUAUCUUAUUUUAUCAAUCUAUAUAAAAGAAAAUGUCAGCUCGAUGCCUUUGUGGCCGUUCCGGCCUUUGAUUUUAAAUAUAAAUUUUGUGCUGUCGUGAUUUUUAUACCAAUGAUAUACAUUGUACAUAAACAAAUCUUAAUUUUUAUUUAUUUAUCACAAUCUUACCGAUUUAAUUUCAAAAAAGAAUAUAUUUCAAAAUGGUGUCUUUUUUGUACAGUGCAAAAAGAUUUUUAUUUAUGUCCUUAUUCCUUUCUUUUAUACUUUUGUACGUCACACCCUAUUUUCAUAAAAUAAAUUUAAUUUGUUUUUUUUCUAAUUUAGGGAAAAACCUUUUAUUUGGUUUCCAGUGUUAGUAAGCACCAGUAAAAUACAUGUAUUUAGUUUAAUAGGAUCAUUUUUACUUAAUAUAUAUGAUAUUUUAGUUUCUUCUGCAUAAGAUUUGUAAAAUCAUUUUUCUAUAAUUUAUGUGCUAACGUGGUUUUAAAAAUACAUAAAAAUUAAAGUUUGUUGUC
rnacentral:sRNA from 1 species